CUCAGGAUGAACGCUGCGGCGUGCCUAAUACAUGCAAGUCGAGCGAAUGGAUUAAGAGCUUGCUCUUAUGAAGUUAGCGCGGACGGGUGAGUAACACGUGGGUAACCUGCCCAUAAGACUGGGAUAACUCCGGGAAACCGGGGCUAAUACCGGAUAACAUUUUGAACCGCAUGGUUCGAAAUUGAAAGCGGCUUCGGCUGUCACUUAUGGAUGGACCCGCGUCGCAUUAGCUAGUUGGUGAGGUAACGGCUCACCAAGGCAACGAUGCGUAGCCGACCUGAGAGGGUGAUCGGCCACACUGGGACUGAGACACGGCCCAGACUCCUACGGGAGGCAGCAGUAGGGAAUCUUCCGCAAUGGACGAAAGUCUGACGGAGCAACGCCGCGUGAGUGAUGAAGGCUUUCGGGUCGUAAAACUCUGUUGUUAGGGAAGAACAAGUGCUAGUUGAAUAAGCUGGCACCUUGACGGUACCUAACCAGAAAGCCACGGCUAACUACGUGCCAGCAGCCGCGGUAAUACGUAGGUGGCAAGCGUUAUCCGGAAUUAUUUGGGCGUAAAGCGCGCGCAGGUGGUUUCUUAAGUCUGAUGUGAAAGCCCACGGGUCAACCGUGGAGGGUCAUUGGAAACUGGGAGACUUGAGUGCAGAAGAGGAAAGUGGAAUUCCAUGUGUAGCGGUGAAAUGCGUAGAGAUAUGGAGGAACACCAGUGGCGAAGCGACUUUCUGGUCUGUAACUGACACUGAGGCGCGAAAGCGUGGGGAGGCAACAGGAUUAGUACCUUAGGG
rnacentral:rRNA from 2 species